UGUUCGUUACAGAGGUCAGCUCUUUGUCGAUAGAAUCAAAGAGCUGAUUAAGUACAAAGGAUUCCAGGUAAAAGUAUCAUUUUGUUCUUCGAGAAAAGAAAGUAAUCAGACACUGCUUAAGAAAAAAAGUUUUUUACUUUAAAUAUGCCAGAUUGCCAGUCUCAGUUAGCCCCUUGCUCUGUAUGCUUGUUGUACGACCUAUCUGCGACUAUGCAUAUGCAUAAAGGACCUACGCAAAUCGCAAAAUCCAGCACAAGGAUUUGGAUCGAUGCAUGACAACAGCAGUCUUCUUGGUUUUGUAACAUUAUCCAGUAGAUUUCUUAGCAUUUUAUCUUGGGCAUACCGUUACUUGGCCUAUUUCAAUGGGUAUAUUUUAGUUUUCAAUCUGUUCUGAUUACACAUUUGCAGAAAUUAAUACUCCCUCUUCCACAACUAUUGUGCAAAUUUGGAUUGUUUGCACCCAAAUUUUCGAUAACAUAUGCAUGAGAGUUUCAUUUUGUGGCCAUAGAAUAUUUAUCUGAUGGGAAUAUUGUGCUUACAGAUCGCACCGGCUGAGCUUGAAGGGCUUCUUCUGUCUCAUCCAGAAAUUCAUGAUGCUGUUGUUAUCCCGUUCCCUGACACUGAAGCUGGGGAAGUUCCUGUUGCCUAUGUUGUGCGAUCACCAAAAAGUUCCUUGAGUGAAGCUGAUGUCCAGAAUUUUAUAGAAAAGCAGGUCGCGUACUACAAAAGAUUGGGGAGGGUUACCUUUGUGGACAGUGUGCCAAAAUCUCCCUCAGGAAAGAUUCUGAGAAGAGAGCUGAUCCGCCAACAAGUGAGACAGUAGUGCUCGGGCUGCUUGCAUCUCCGGACGCAGGGUGAUGUGUGAAAACUGCGAAGCAAUCUAGGCGACGGACCGAUGGAAACAAUCGCAUCCUGCACUCGGAUGGGAUGAUCGCAAGAAGAUGUUUUUUUGAAAUAUUUCGCAAGAAGAUGUUUUAAACGCCUGGGUGCUUGGUCUGUUGUCAGUUGUCACUCCCAAAACUUUACUGACAAGUUGGACGCACUCUUUAGCAUCCACAUCACUUGUUGUAUUAAUAUACAGUAUUAUGUAAAGAAAGGGGUAAAAUAAAAGGUACUCGUCCUGAUCCAAUCACCAACCAGCCAGCCUCUAGAAUCAAGAGCACUGCAUCGACAGAUCCAGCGGAAAGAGUCAGCAAUGG